AGAGUUUGAUCAUGGCUCAGAACGAACGCUGGCGGCGCGCCUAAUACAUGCAAGUCGAACGAGAAUGUGUAGCAAUACACAUGUACAGUGGCGAACGGGUGAGGACUACAUGGGUAACCUACCCUCGAGUGGGGAAUAACUAGCCGAAAGGUUAGCUAAUACCGCGUACGCUUCCGGGACUGCGGUUUCGGAAGGAAAGCGAUACCGUGGGUAUCGCGCUCUUGGAUGGGCUCAUGCCCUAUCAGCUUGUUGGUGAGGUAACGGCUCACCAAGGCUUCGACGGGUAGCUGAUCUGAGAGGAUGAUCAGCCACACUGGCACUGCGACACGGGCCAGACUCCUACGGGAGGCAGCAGUAAGGAAUAUUGCGCAAUGGGCGAAAGCCUGACGCAGCGACGCCGCGUGGGGGAUGAAGGUCUUCGGAUUGUAAACCCCUUUCGGGAGGGAAGAUGGGAUGGGGUAACCCAUUCGGACGGUACCUCCAGAAGCAGCCACGGCUAACUUCGUGCCAGCAGCCGCGGUAAUACGAAGGUGGCAAGCGUUGUUCGGAUUUACUGGGCGUACAGGGAGCGUAGGCGGUUGGAUAAGCCCUCCGUGAAAUCUCCAGGCUUAACCUGGAAAGUGCAGAGGGGACUGUUCAGCUAGAGGAUGGGAGAGGAGCGCGGAAUUCCCGGUGUAGCGGUGAAAUGCGUAGAGAUCGGGAGGAAGGCCGGUGGCGAAGGCGGCGCUCUGGAACAUUUCUGACGCUGAGCUCGAAAGCGUGGGGAGCAAACAGGAUUAGAUACCCUGGUAGUCCACGCCUUAAACGAUGGAUACUAAGUGUCGGCGGGUUACCGCCCGGUGCCGCAGCUAACGCAGUAAGUAUCCCGCCUGGGAAGUACGGCCGCAGGUUGAAACUCAAAGGAAUUGACGGGGCCCGCACAAGCGGUGGGAGCAUGUGGUUUAAUUCGACGCACGGCGAAGAACCUUACCUA
rnacentral:rRNA from 1 species